CUCCUACCGAUUGAAUGGUCCGGUGAAGUGUUCGGAUCGCGGCGACUGAGGGCGGUUCGCCGCCCCCGACGUCGCGAGAAGUCCAUUGAACCUUAUCAUUUAGAGGAAGGAGAAGUCGUAACAAGGUU
rnacentral:rRNA from 1 species